UACGGAGGGUGCAAGCGUUACUCGGAAUCACUGGGCGUAAAGAGCGCGUAGGCGGCGACGCAAGUCAGAAGUGAAAGCCCGGGGCUCAACUCCGGGACUGCUUUUGAAACUGCGUUGCUAGAUUGCGGGAGAGGCAAGUGGAAUUCCUAGUGUAGCGGUGAAAUGCGUAGAUAUUAGGAGGAACACCAGUGGCGAAGGCGGCUUGCUGGACCGUGAAUGACGCUGAGGCUCGAAAGCGUGGGGAGCAAACAGG
rnacentral:rRNA from 1 species